rnacentral:rRNA from 1 species
GAUGAACGCUGGCGGCGUGCCUAAUACAUGCAAGUCGAACGCUGGAAAUCUAGCUUGCUAGCUUGAAGGUUUGGCGCACGGGUGUGUAUUACAUAAGCAACCUACCCACGAAGACUGGGAUAAUCUCUGGAAACGGGGACUAAUACCGGAUAGGUAAUCGGAAGGCAUCUUCUGAUUAUUAAAGGUUAAAAACACUGGUGGAUCGGCUUAUGUCGCAUUAGUUAGUUGGUGAGGUAACGGCCCACCAAGACGAUGUUGCGGAGCCGGCAUGAGAGGGUGAACGACUACAUUGGGAACGAGGCACAGACCAGACUCCGACGCGAGGCAACAGUAUGUAAUGCUAGGCGAUGAAGCAAGACCGAGCCGAGCCACGUGGCUUAAGUGAUGCCGGCCAUCGUGUUGUAAAGCUAUGUUGUAAGAGAAGAACGGUAGAUAGAGAAUAUCUAAAUGACGGUACCUUACCAGAAAGCCACGGCUAACUACGUG